rnacentral:tRNA from 1 species
UAGGGUAUGGCGUAAAUGGAAACGUAUUUGCUUUGGGAGCAAAAGAUUAUAGGUUCAAAUCCUAUUACCCUAA